UCAGGCCUAACACAUGCAAGUCGAGGGGUAACAGGGAAGCUUGCUUCCGCUGACGACCGGCGCACGGGUGCGUAACGCGUAUGCAAUCUACCUCUAACUGGGGGAUAGCCCGAAGAAAUUCGGAUUAAUACCCCAUAGUAUAAUGAACUCGCAUGUUUUCAUUAUUAAAAUUCCGAUGGUUAGAGAUGAGCAUGCGUCCUAUUAGUUAGUUGGUGAGGUAACGGCUCACCAAGACUCCGAUAGGUAGGGGGUCUGAGAGGAUGAUCCCCCACACUGGUACUGAGACACGGACCAGACUCCUACGGGAGGCAGCAGUGAGGAAUAUUGGACAAUGGACGAAAGUCUGAUCCAGCCAUGCCGCGUGUAGGAAGACUGCCCUCUGGGUUGUAAACUACUUUUAUAUGGGAAUAAACCCCUCGACGUGUCGAGGGCUGAAUGUACCAUACGAAUAAGCACCGGCUAACUCCGUGCCAGCAGCCGCGGUAAUACGGAGGGUGCAAGCGUUAUCCGGAUUUAUUGGGUUUAAAGGGUCCGUAGGUGGGAUUAUAAGUCAGUGGUGAAAUCUUUCGGCUCAACCGGAAAAAUUGCCAUUGAUACUGUAGUUCUUGAGUAUGCUCGAUGUAGGCGGAAUAUGUCAUGUAGCGGUGUAAUGCAUAGAUAUGACAUAUAACACCGAUAGCGAAGGCAGCUUACAAGCGCA
rnacentral:rRNA from 1 species